AAUUUUUUCCCCCUUCCUCCCCACCACCCUCCCCAAGAUGGCGCACAAUCUGAUAUAGGCUAUGCAUAUACAUUCCUGUUAAACAUUUUUUCACAUUAGUGAUGUGGUAAGAAAGAAUUAGAACCAAUAGGAGAAACCACCAGAAAGAGGAAACAAAGCUCAACAGAAGAAAAAAAAAUAACAUAGUAUGCUUUGAUCUGCAUUCAAACUCCAUAGUUCUUUCUUUGGAUGUGGAUAGCAUUUUCCACCACGAGGCCUUUGAAGAUGUCGUAGAUCCUUGUAUUGCUGGGAAGGGUUAAGUUUAUCAAUAUUAGUCAUUGCACAAUGUGCUGUUACUAUGUACAACAUUGUCCUGGUUCUGCUCACUUCACUCAGCAUCAGACCAUAUGUCUUUCCAGGUUUUUCUGAAGUUUGCCUGCUUAUCAUUUCUUAUAGCACAGUAGUAUUCCAUUAUGUUCAUAUGCCACAACUUGUUCAGCCAUUCCCCAAUUGAUGGGCAUUCUCUCAAUUUCCAAUUUAGCCUCAGUUUUCUCAUCUGCAAAAUGGGGAUACAAAUCAUCCUACGGGGUUGUUGUGAGCAUGGAAUGAGAUAAUGUAUGUUACUAGCCGUAUAAUCCAUAAAGCAUUAUCUGAGGGUGAGCUGUCAUUUUCUCUAAUUGGUCACAUCAUGUACUUGGUGUGACCUAAGGUCCUUGAGGUCAGGGCCCAUCACUCCUUUACUGCUCUCUUAGGUUCUAGGGGAGGGCUUCAUAAAUGUUUGCUUCCAGAAUGCACCUGGCUCUGACCUUGAAGGCAGAAAGAUGCGCAGAUGCCGACCUUGACUUUUCAUUUUUUGUCCCUCAUACAGGUUUCUAGCUCAUGUUCAUCCACUUCCCCCUCUGUGGGGAAGGAGGUAAAGACUGUUCCCCUCUCCCCAGCCUCGAAAGCCAGCCUGGAUUUCCCAGAAGGCAUCGGCCACUCAAAGCCAGACCUUGCUGAGCUCAAGUCUCGGCUGCAGAAGGUUCGGGAGCUGACCCACAGAGCCGCACCCCUCACCUCCACCCCGAAUGCCAGUGUCAGCCUCAAAAACCGACUGCAGCGUGCCCGGGAGCUGGGGGCCCGGAUCCAGGCUGGGACUUCUGCUGGCGAGAAGAAAAGUGAAGAGCCAGGGCCCCAGGAGGUGGGGGACCCCACAGUGGAGCCAUGGUGAGAGCCUGGUAGGGAGGGGAGCGGGGGACAAGAGCCUGAGAGGCCUAACAUGCCCCACAACCAUGAACCCAGCAACAUUCUCCCUCCUCCUGGUGAUACAGAAAGAAUCUGAGGCUUUGUCAGUCUGCGGGGAUAGACAUCCAUGGCAGGUGGGCUUGGUGCUCAGUUGAACAUUCCCACUUAGCAUUCUUCCCCGCCCCCCCAAAAUACAGGGUAUCUGUCCCAAAAGUCUUAGUGAAGUUUUAAGCCAUUAAAAAUGUUAACAGCUAUUUUAAUAAGUUACUUUAAUAAUUUAAGGAAAAAAACAUUUUUAAUUUUACAAAACUUUG
rnacentral:lncRNA from 1 species